ACGCCGAUGGUGAAGUGGUAUCAUGAGUUAUGGGUGAUGAUUACUUGCAGAACAGUGGUGAUGUUCUGAGUAAUCAUCACUCCGUAAUAGACACGGGUUCGAUUCCUGUUCGGUGUA